GUCAUAGUCGCGCUGAUCUAUUUAUGACAAAUUAAUAAUUGUGUUGUGUUGUGGGUUGAACACGAAUAAGCUUUACCCUAACUCUCUAUAAAUUGAUCCCACCACAUAUCUUGUAUUUUCAACUCAUGAACAACAAUCGAGUCAGGUCAUAGACGGCUUCCAGCAGAACCAACAAUAGAAGAAAGUAGAACCUACUACAUAAUAUAUAAGCACAAUUUCAAAUAUUCAACUCAAGGAGCACUGAUCAAUCACUCAACUGGGAAUUGAAAUUCAUU
rnacentral:misc_RNA from 1 species